rnacentral:misc_RNA from 1 species
UCCGGUUUGGCACCGGCAGUCUUUCUAGAGUCCCCGACAUCACUCGCUGGCAACUAGAAACGGGGGUUGCGCUCGUUGCGGGACUUAACCCAACAUCUCACGACACGAGCUGACGACAGCCAUGCAGCACCUGUGCAUGGACUCCGAAGAGGGGUCCUGGUUUCUCAGGACUUUCCCCUGCAUGUCAAGCCCAGGUAAGGUUCUUCGCGUUGCGUCGAAUUAAACCACAUGCUCCACUGCUUGUGCGGGCCCCCGUCAAUUCCUUUGAGUUUCAGCCUUGCGGCCGUACUCCCCAGGCGGGGCACUUAAUGCGUUAGCGCCGGCACUCAGAGGGUCGCUCCCCCAAGCACCUAGUACCCAUCGUUUAUGGCGUGGACUAC